UGCGUAGGCGGAAAAUUAAGUCAGUGAUGAAAUCCUGCAGCUUAACUGUAGAACUGUUAUUGAUACUGAUUUUCUUGAAUUCAGUUGAGGUAGGCGGAAUGUGUAAUGUAGCGGUGAAAUGCUUAGAUAUUACACAGAACACCGAUUGCGAAGGCAGCUUACUAAGCUAUGAUUGACGCUGAGGUACGAAAGCGUGGGGAGCGAACAGGAUUAGAUACCCUGGUAGUC
rnacentral:rRNA from 1 species